UGAAAGGUGUUGGACCUUAGAUCCUGACAGU
rnacentral:piRNA from 1 species